rnacentral:rRNA from 1 species
GAGUUUGAUCUUGGCUCAGGAUGAACGCUGGCGGCGUGCCUAAUACAUGCAAGUCGAACGAACAGAUAAGGAGCUUGCUCCUUUGACGUUAGCGGCGGACGGGUGAGUAACACGUGGGUAACCUACCUAUAAGACUGGAAUAACUCCGGGAAACCGGGGCUAAUGCCGGAUAACAUGUUGAACCGCAUGGUUCUACAGUGAAAGACGGUCUUGCUGUCACUUAUAGAUGGACCCGCGCCGUAUUAGCUAGUUGGUGGGGUAACGGCCUACCAAGGCGACGAUACGUAGCCGACCUGAGAGGGUGAUCGGCCACACUGGAACUGAGACACGGUCCAGACUCCUACGGGAGGCAGCAGUAGGGAAUCUUCCGCAAUGGGCGAAAGCCUGACGGAGCAACGCCGCGUGAGUGAUGAAGGUCUUCGGAUCGUAAAGCUCUGUUGUUAGGGAAGAACAAACGUGUAAGUAACUGUGCAUAUCUUGACGGUACCUAACCAGAAAGCCACGGCUAACUACGUGCCAGCCGCCGCAGUAAC